UAAAACAUGAACUAAAC
rnacentral:sRNA from 1 species